UGGGGAAUAUUGCACAAUGGGCGCAAGCCUGAUGCAGCCAUGCCGCGUGUGUGAAGAAGGCCUUCGGGUUGUAAAGCACUUUCAGCGAGGAGGAAGGUGGUGAGCUUAAUACGCUCAUCAAUUGACGUUACUCGCAGAAGAAGCACCGGCUAACUCCGUGCCAGCAGCCGCGGUAAUACGGAGGGUGCAAGCGUUAAUCGGAAUUACUGGGCGUAAAGCGCACGCAGGCGGUUUGUUAAGUCAGAUGUGAAAUCCCCGGGCUCAACCUGGGAACUGCAUUUGAAACUGGCAAGCUAGAGUCUCGUAGAGGGGGGUAGAAUUCCAGGUGUAGCGGUGAAAUGCGUAGAGAUCUGGAGGAAUACCGGUGGCGAAGGCGGCCCCCUGGACGAAGACUGACGCUCAGGUGCGAAAGCGUGGGGCAGCAAACAGGAUUAGAUACCCUGGUAGUCCACGCUGUAAACGAUGUCGAUUUUGGAGGUUGUGCCCUUGAGGCGUGGCUUCCGGAGCUAACGCGUUAAUCGACCGCCUGGGGAGUACGGCCGCAAGGUUAAAACUCAAAUGAAUUGACGGGGUCAAGCUG
rnacentral:rRNA from 1 species